rnacentral:rRNA from 1 species
CAGGAACGCUGGCGGCAGGCUUAACACAUGCAAGUCGAGCGCCCCGCAAGGGGAGCGGCAGACGGGCGAGUAACGCGUGGGAAUCUACCCAUCUCUACGGAAUAACGCAUGGAAACGUGUGCUAAUACCGUAUACGUCCUUCGGGAGAAAGAUUUAUCGGAGAUUGAUGAGCCCGCGGUGGAUUGACUAGUUGGUGGGGUAAAGGCCUACAAAGGCGCCGAUCCAUAGCUGGUCUGGGAGGAUGAACAGCCACACUGGGACUGAGACACGGCCCAGACUCCUACGGGAGGCAGCAGUGGGGAAUAUUGGACAAUGGGCGCAAGCCUGAUCCAGCCAUGCCGCGUGAGUGAUGAAGGCCCUAGGGUUGUAAAGCUCUUUCACCGGUGAAGAUAAUGACGGUAACCGGAGAAGAAGCCCCGGCUAACUUCGUGCCAGCCGCCGCAGUAAGAC